GCUUCCCUUACUGAAUAAGUUAUAUUUACCUCUUGAUGAGUUGAGGCAAAUUCUUGAAUUUUUUGUUUGAUUGUAAUAUUUUCCUCAGAAAAUAUAGUUUUUAAAAAAUAAUAAUAAUAACUUUUUGGGCAAGCAAUAGAUGGCGUUUUGGUAUAUAAAAAAACAAAGGAUAAGAUACCCCAAAACCAUUGAGAAAUCAAACCCCAUAAAUAUAAUUAGAAUAAAACCGGACGACGUCUAGGUUUAGCUUGGCAAAUCAAAUCUCUCUCGACUCUCUGAUUCCCAAAUCUUGGAUUUUGCGCCGAUUUUAUUUACGUUUACUACUUGCUUCUCCGAUUCGUUGAAUUGUUAUUAAGAUUUUCGUCUAAUUGAUGACCAUCAUGUCCAAGCGCCUGGCUCUGUUAGGGUCUCAAUACGUCGCUAGAACUCGAGGUCACGGCUCCUCUUACGCAAUGAUUGAUCGUCGUCCAUUCCCCUACCGCCAAUUUUCCGACCUGUCAGAAGAAUUCUCAGGAGAAUCAUUCUAUUCUUGUGAAACGCGAGAUACAAAAAUUACGACAUGAUAUGGAGAUGAUGCAAAUGGAGCAAAGGUAUGAAGCUAAAAAGUCAAAUCUGGAAUUUGGAACUAAAUUACAAGAUGCAAGACGUGAGUACUACGAAUCCGAGUUUCGAACACUUGCCUGGUUGUCAACACCAAUGGUUAUACUUUGCAUCUUGGUGUUGUUUAAGUAGGAUCUAACAUGCUCUCUUUUUUCCCCAUUUUGGGAAUAUGCUUUUAAUCGGCUUAUAGUUGGGACACUAUUGGAUUUUUCUUUAUUUUAUGAGUUAUGAUUGUUACAAUAUGCAUACGAAAUCAAAACUUUAUAUGGUUGAAGAUUUUGCUUGCGA